GUGUCAGCAGCCGCGGUAAGACAGGGGUCUCGAGCGUUAAUCGGAAUUACUGGGCUUAAAGGGUGCGUAGGUGGGCCUGCAAGUGCCCUGUGAAAUCCCCCGGCUCAACCGGGGAACUGCGGGGCAUACUGCGGGUCUUGAGGAAGGUAGGCGCCGGGGGAACAGUAGGUGGAGCGGUGAAAUGCGUAGAUAUCUACUGGAACGCCGAUGGUGAAGACGCCCGGCUGGGCCUUUCCUGACACUGAGGCACGAAAGCGUGGGGAGCAAACAGGAUUAGAUACCCUUGUAGUCC
rnacentral:rRNA from 1 species